rnacentral:rRNA from 1 species
AUACGGAGGGGGCUAGCGUUGUUCGGAAUUACUGGGCGUAAAGCGCGCGUAGGCGGGCUGGUCAGUUGGGGGUGAAAUCCCGGGGCUUAACCUCGGAACUGCCCUCAAUACUGCCAGUCUUGAGUUCGAGAGAGGUGAGUGGAAUUCCUAGUGUAGAGGUGAAAUUCGUAGAUAUUAGGAAGAACACCAGUGGCGAAGGCGGCUCACUGGCUCGAUACUGACGCUGAGGCGCGAAAGCGUGGGGAGCAAACAGGAUUAGAAACCCCGGUAGUCC